rnacentral:tRNA from 1 species
GCAGUCGUGGCCAGUGGUUAAGGCGAUGGAUUAGGAAAUCCAUUGGGAUCUUCCCCGCGUAGGUUCGAAUCCUCCCGACUGCG